rnacentral:tRNA from 1 species
UCCCAUGCAGCUCAGUUGGUAAAGCAUCUGCCUACAAUGCAGUAGACCUGGGUUCAAUUCCUAGGUUGGGAA